CCACCGAAGCAUGCGGGAUCAAGAUCGUGUGCAGUUAUUAUCGUAACUGCAACUUAAACAGUUGUAUAUACAUCACAUGAUCUAGAAUAGAAUUGCGGUAGUGUAGCCCGGAGGGGAUUCAGCGUAGGGGCAGACGGGCAGGAGGACUCUAGUACUCCUACACACUGGAUCUCCAUGAAGAUUAGGAGAAAAAUAAGAGGAGACAAAAGACGAAGGAAGGAAAAGAGGACCCAAGGAAGAAGCUCCCUUGAUCUCUUAUGCUGCUGCUCUACUUGAUCCAAUCACACCUACAAUGGCCCUACUCCGGUUAUCGACAACGUUGGUCAUGAUCACUGCACUGAUGAGUGAGACUCUAAUAGACGGCAUGGUGGUUGGCAAAAGAGACGAAGGACUUACCGUUGGCAAGAGAGAGCGAUAAAAAAUGGGAGGAAAUUAUGGCAUAUAGGUGGGGCCACUACACGUGGAUUCGGAUGUAAAUGUUGUAUUAGGGAUUGCCAUAUGUCUCGAGCUGUAUAUGAGCUGCCAGGCGACGACUGACUUCACCGCCUUCCACACCGGGUCGAGUAGAGCAGAGCGAUACCUCCAUCAUCUUGACUUUGAGAUGAGUAGUUGACUCAAUCGAUAGCUCGGAGGAAUCGCCUUCUUGCUUUCGCGGUUGCUGGUUGGUUCUGAUUUCUUACAACAUAAACAGGUAAUUUUGUUGAUGAUCAGACUUCUUUUCCUAAUCCUCUCUCUGUGAUUUCGCUUCAGUUUUCUGCAUAACUCUAGGCGGCCGCCUGGGCUUAUGGGCGAAACAUCAAUGGAUUUUUUUAGCUACUUAAUUUGAAGGAAAUUUUUGUUAAUUUGUUAGACUAAACAGUUGCCAUGGUCAUAUAUACAAUUUUGGGCAUCAAAUUCCAUUUCAUUUUAGGACUGCAGUAUCUAAACUAUGGUGAUUACAGUAUCUAGUACAGUAUGUGGCUCCCCAAUAUAUACUACAGUGAAAUGGCGAUAUCUACUAGCAGAAAGUUUAU